GGCAGCGCGACGCCGGGUGGCCCAGCAGCGGGCGGGUGCCGGGGGCGGAAGCGCGGCCACAAGAGGGGGCGAUUCACCGCCGCCCCCCGUGGGACCUGGGUCCUCUACGCGGGACCGCAGGGGCCCCGAGUCGCGGGUUGGGCAAGGUCGCCCGCUCCGGGUCGCUCGGAAGGGUCAUUUCACGGACCGGUCGUCUGGGGCCAGUGCGUCUUGCCCCGCACGGAAGACCCCUCGCUUCGAGGACAGGAAAGCUUUUAAAGUGAGGAUUGGCUCGCCGCGCCUCCCGCAGAGGGGAACGCCGCCCGGACCCGCGCUCCUGGGGCGGGGGCCUCGUAUGCUGGCGUUGCCGGAGCGUCUGCGGCGCUGAAGGCUGCCGAGACCCAGCCACAUCCCCCACAAGCCAGCAGCCCGGCAGAAAAUUACAUAAAAUGCAGCGCUUCGCCGAGGGGGUGCGAGUCGGGGGAGCAGCGCGCAGCUGCGGCUGACGGCUCGGCUGGAUCCAUCCAAGCAUGGACAGGAAAACGGGACUGUGGGGAGAGGGUGGUGCAGACGGGCCGCAGACCCUCCUUAGGAAGAGAAGCCGGAAACUAGGGAGUCAUGUGCAGUUAGAAUCCUCUUGGAAGACUAGUAGGAUGUGAGGUUGGAGAGGUGGACGACGACCAGAAAAUUCCCUUGUCUUGCCAGGCUUCUGACCUAACUAUGAGUUUCCUCCGCGCAUCCAGCCUGCCCUGCUCUGGCCCCUAAAGUACAGCAGUAACACUCAGUGGUGUCCCUGCCUUCCUGGAAUGCGCGUUAACAAUUCUGAUUCUUACUCAUGGCAAUAACCUACACACCACAUAGACGUUAAAUGUGGUUCGGGUCAGACUCUAGGGCAGGACUCACUGCCUGCACCUUGUCUUGGCUCCACCAGCUUGACCUUGAGCAAGUCACAACCUGUGGGUCUCAGUGUUCCUUACUAGUAAACCGUAGGUAAUUCCUCACUAGUAAACAGAUAAUAUUUGUGCCUGUCUCAAAGUUGUGAGGAUUUAAUGAAUUUGUGUUCCUGGUAUACAGUAA
rnacentral:lncRNA from 1 species